AAAACCGCAAAAAUCUAUGUGAAAUAAAUCUAGGUUAUA
rnacentral:misc_RNA from 1 species